rnacentral:rRNA from 1 species
AUAAGCUUUUAAAGGGCAAAUGGUGGAUGCCUUGGAAGAGAGAGGCGAUGAAGGACGUACUAGACUGCGAUAAGCUAUGGGGAGCUGUCAAGAAGCUUUGAGCCAUAGAUUUCCGAAUGGGGCAACCCAAUGUGUCGUGAGGCACAUUACCUUAAAUGGAGCGAACCUAGCGAAGUGAAACAUCUCAGUAGCUAGAGGAAAAGAAAUCAAACGAGAUUCCCAAAGUAGCGGCGAGCGAACAGGGAACAGGGCAAACCGAAUGCUUGCAUUCGGGGUUGUGGACUGCAAUCACCACUGAAAACUUCGAGCAUAAGAUUUUGGAAAGAAUCGCCAUAGAGGGUGAUAGCCCCGUGUGCGAAGGAGUUUUCUAGGGUGCAGUAUCCAGAGUAGGUCAGGGCACGUGAAACCCGGACUGAAGCAGGGGAGACCACUCUCCAACCCUAAAUACUACUCUCUUACCGAUAGCGAACCAGUACCGUGAGGGAAAGGUGAAAAGAACCGCAGUGAGCGGAGUGAAAUAGAACCUGAAACCAUUUGCCUACAAUCAUUCAGAGC